UGAAAAUGUAAUUUACCUUUUCGUUAAGUUUAGGCCUUUUCUUAAAAUUUAAAUAAAAAGAAAUAUCUUUCCGGUAUUGGUUAGUUUUGAUCUUGAUAUUAUCUGGGUUUGGUGUUAGUGGGGAUGGCGGUGUCACGCAAAGUUAGUUGUUCGUGGCUCACCGGAAAACCCCCUGAUUGGGCUUUAUUAGGAGGGAAUUCAUAAUGUAGUAGAUUUUCCUCAAUGCAAAGCUCAUCAUCCACAUAUAAAUGUUGUUGUGGAGCUGCUUAAAGAAGGUCCCUUUUCGGUUAUUAAAACUCAAUGUUACCUGCUUUCAUUUCCAGUUUUUCAGUCUUCUAUUUGUUUGCUUGCUGCAAUUAUUUAACUUAUGUUGCUAUAAUAUUUGUUUCCUUCUGUUUUGUCCUCUGCAUUAACUACCAUUUGGAUCAUGUAAAUGACAACUUUCAUGUAUAUUUCGAAUAAUGAGCAGUUUAUUGCUUUUAAUCUUUUGAUCACUGUAUAUCUUGCUAAUUUACCUUAUCAAACAACGUACAUGUAAACAUUGAUAUAUAAAACUUAUUUAUAUGUUAAUAGUAUGGUUUCUUUACUUUUGAGUUUGGUUGAACAACAACAUUUUCUACUUUCUAGAGUUCAUCCUGUUUAUUUUAGCCCAUGCCAACUCACUCCACUUUGUUCGAAGCUCUUCAACUUUUUCGCACAAAUAGCUCAAAAAUUCCUGUUCUCAAACAUCUUAGAUCCCUCACUCACCCUUCUGGCAUCGACGCCCCAAAGGCAAUUACUAUAAAUACAAAUGGAUGGUGCUCACAAAUUACUGAAACUUCAAGGAAAAAAAGAAGACCAGAUCCCAAUUCACUUCAAUCGUCAAACAUCUUGAUCCGUUCCAGCUUUUUCUCUUCCUUGGAGUUAGAAUGAGUUUUUCAUAUAACAUGGAUGAUGAGUACAAGAAACUCAUCCAGAGAAUAAAUCCACCAAGGAUUUCUCAAGUUGGAUUACCACUUGGGUAAUCAGGAAAAAAUGGAUUUGGUCUCUGGUUACAAGAAACAGCUCGAGUUAGGAGCAAGUCUGGUGAAUACCUAAGAGCAAGAUUGACGAUAAACUUUUUCUCUUCAGGUUACUAUUCCAUCUUUUUCUUACAAGUCUAAUAAUGUUGAGAAGAAUGUUUAAUUUAGUUUAUCUUUCAUGUAAUUACAAAUUUGAUAAAUCUUUUUUCCUGCUUUUUUAAUCUCAUUUUAUUUCUUUUGUCCCACAAGAUUAUUCAUAGUCGUCAAUAGUCCAAAUGAACACCUAACAACAAGUCUCACGACAAACUUUUUCUUUCCAUUACUUCUUUUUGUUACACGUCUAAUAAUGUUGAGAAAAAUGUUUAAUUUAGUUUAAAUCUUCUUAUUUUGAUGAUUCGCUUUUCCACUACUUUCUCAAACUUGGAGUUGGUUUGAUAGUAUUUGGGUUUUAAACAUUCAUAUAAAAGUACCUCAUUAUAGUCAUGGAGUCAUUGAUCUAUUAAUUCUUAUUCUGUUAAGAGUUUAGAACUAAAAGCUAGGAGUUUAUUCCAUUGAUCAAGUCAUUGAUAUACUAACUUUUAUUCUCUUGAGGGUUGACAUUAACUCUUCUCAUCUUUGGUGCAGUUAUCCACUUACAAGAAACAUUUUCCAUGACUCCCCCUAGUGUCAGAAUAAGUUAAAGGUAAGGUUCACCAAAUCAUACUAUUUUCGUUGCUAUUUAUUUCCUUGCUAAAUACGAUGAAGCAAAUUCUCUUCAUUUUCAUUCUUGCAUGUUUUGCAAGUCAGUUUAUGGUAAAUAAUACUCAAAUUUUCGUUGUCUUCGAUUCAACUGAGUUGCAGUUUUAUCAUCUAUAUGUAAAACCCAUUUAGACUCUCAAUUUUUGUGCGGUAAAAAUGAAACUGAAGCAUUAUGUACAUCCAAGAUUGAAGGAGAAAUUCAAGUUAAAUUAAAUGGACACCCAAUACUAGAGGUGUUGUUGGCAAGGUUGUAACCAUGUCAGUAAUCGAUUUUAUAAAUAGAGUGAAAUGCAAGAUAACCCAAUAGGUAUCAUAAAAUAAUGUGGAACUACUUCUUUCUCUCUCAGUACUCAAGAAAUUCCUCACUUGGCCAAAAAUGAUAGAUUAUCCCCCAUGAUCUACUUACCAUGUUUGAAUAUUUUGUUCGUUCAAUUUCAACUGUGUUUCUUUUUAAUAUGAGAAUAUCUUAGUAACUUAUCCUUUUUUUCUCUCCUCUAGGGGUACAAUAGUUCCAUCCGAUGAUGGACGAUAUUUUUCAAAGGAUGUUGUGGAAUUUCAAGAUUAAAAACCGCUUGCUUUCGACUUUUUGAACAAAUUACCUUCGUAAGGUAUCAAAACAAUAAUUUUUUUAUAGCAAAUAAAAUUCUUUUCUUUGUUAUGGUAAUUUUGUUAGAUCAGUCAAUGUUACACCGAUACUAACUCAAGUUUAUACAUUGCUAGAAAGUUAAUUUGUAAUCUCGUAGCAACACGCUGGCAUUACUAUCUAGCUUUUAUAUACUAAAACCGGGUGGAUGGCUACUGUUCAUUAACCGUGCUCCACCGGUUUUGUCCCUCGCUUGCUGAGCAAUUUUUUACCCUUUUUCUGUAAUUAUGCAGUGAGUUGAUCAUUUUGCCCUUUCUUCUUUCUGGUGCCGCUGUGCAUCAUCUGCGUUUCUUUGCUUUUCAAAACCCACGCAUAUUUUUUAAUUAUUUUUUCCCUAGAACAAUUAU